GAGGCGUGGGAAACCGGCAGGAAUAUGGAUUUUAGUGUCAUCACGUCUUGCAACCUGCUAAGCUCACUGAAGUUUUUUAUAAGUCCUCGAAAAGACAGUGGCACCUGGUUUUCCUUCCCCAUGUGGAACCCUCUACAGCUUCCAGCAAGUUCCAUCACCCAGAGGACGCCAUGCAAGGAAGUGGCAAUGCCGGGACUUGAAGACCUGCUCCAGUGACAGGCCCUACUCUCACCUGCCCUGCCCUGAAAAACAGCCUCAGUGGCCUAGGGAAGUCCCCAGGUCAGGGGUCACAUCUAAGCUGCAACUGCAGCCUACGCCACAGCAACCCUGGAUCCAAACCACUUCUGUGACCUACACCGCAGCUUAUGGCAAUGCAGGAUCCUUAACCCGCUGACUGAGGCCAGGGAUGGAACCGGUGACGUCACAGAGACAACACUAGGUCCUUGACCAGCUGAGCCACAGCGGGAACCCCCAGUCUGGUUUUUGAAGCAGAGGUCAUCAAACUUUUUUGCUCCUGUAUCCCCGAAUAAAUUUUGAAAAACUCGCCCUUCCGCAUUCCAAGCAGACGUCUAAGUUUUGCAUCGUCAAUGUAGAGAGUCGUAAAGGAGGUCGUGUCUGGCACAUCAUCGUUUUAAUCCAACUUUUCAUAACACUUUUAAAUGUAUACAAUGGCCACGAAGUCCUAAGGCAAUUUGAUAUUCUCAUCACCCAAUUAAAAUAUGCGUUAAUCAGUAUCCUUCUAGGGAGUUCCCACUGUGGCUCAUUGGUUUACGAACCCAGCUUGUGUCCAUGAGGAUGCAAGUUGAUCCCCGGCCUUGUUCAGUGGGUUAAGGAUCCAGCGUUGCCAUGAGCAGUGGUGUAGGUCGCAGACACGGCUCAGAUCUGGCAUUGCUGUGGUUGUGUCACAGGCUGGCAGCUGCAGGUCUGGUUUGACCCCUGGCCUGGGAACCUCCAUAUGCCACAGGUGUGGCCCUAAAAAGCAAGUAAAUAAAGAAAUAAUCCUUCUUUACAAGAAAUUUUAAAAUGCUUUUUUCUUCUUGAACCUACAUUUCAAUUUCACUUUUUCCUUGCAAAGAAGACAUAAUGUAAUAUCUUUUUUUUUUUUUUUUCCGGUCCUUUUAGGGCCACACCCACGGCAUGUGGAGGUUCCCGGGCCAGGGGUCAAAUCAGAGCCAUAGCUGCGGUCUACAUCACAGUCACAGCAAUGCAGGAUCCAAGCCGCAUCUGCAACCUACACCACAGCUCACGGCAACACCAGAUCCUUAAUCUACUGAGCAAGGCCAGGGAUCGAACCUUUGUCCUCAUGGAUACUAGUCAGGUUUGUUACUGCUGAGCCAUGAUGGGAGCUCCUUUUGAAAGUAUUUUAUUAAGCACCCUAUCAUUUCUCUCUGUCAAAUGGCUGUGGCUGUGCAUUUAAAUGUAAUAAAAAUAUC
rnacentral:lncRNA from 1 species